rfam:Meleagris gallopavo isolate NT-WF06-2002-E0010 breed Aviagen turkey brand Nicholas breeding stock chromosome 15, whole genome shotgun sequence.
CAUCUGUCACCCCAUUGAUCACCAGAGUUGAUUCAGCUGAUCUCACUGGCUAGACAGGAG